CCUCUAUCUGUAAGUUUGGUAAGCCUCUGAUAGCUUCCUCAGAUAUAGCUCUCUUCAUACUCUUCAAGUUAAGAUGUCCUAGUUUUUGGUGCCACAACUUAACCUCAUCUUCUUUUGUUAAGAGACAUGUAGAUACAUUAGCUUCUUCUAGAGGAACCCACAAGUAAAAAUUAUCCUUCGAUCUAACACCCUUCAUCAGGAUGUCACCUUCAUCAUUGCUAACAAGACAUUCAUUUUUUGUAAAGUUGACUUGCAUGCCUUGAUCACAUAGUU
rnacentral:lncRNA from 1 species